rnacentral:rRNA from 1 species
AGAACUUAGCAGAGAUGCUUUGGUGCCUUCGGGAACUCUGAGACAGGUGCUGCAUGGCUGUCGUCAGCUCGCGUUGUGAAAUGUUGGGUUAAGUCCCGCAACGAGCGCAACCCUUAUCCUUUGUUGCCAGCGGUUAGGCCGGGAACUCAAAGGAGACUGCCAGUGAUAAACUGGAGGAAGGUGGGGAUGACCGUCAAGUCAUCAUGGCCCUUACGAGUAGGGCUACACACGUGCUACAAUGGCGCAUACAAAGAGAAGCGACCUCGCGAGAGCAAGCGGACCUCAUAAAGUGCGUCGUAGUCCGGAUUGGAGUCUGCAACUCGACUCCAUGAAGUCGGAAUCGCUAGUAAUCGUGGAUCAGAAUGCCACGGUGAAUACGUUCCCGGGCCUUGUACACACCGCCCGUCACACCAUGGGAGUGGGUUGCAAAAGAAGUAGGUAGCUUAACCUUCGGGAGGGCGCUUACCACUUUGUGAUUCAUGACUGGGGUGAAGUCGUAACAAGGUAGGCGUAGUGCU